rnacentral:lncRNA from 1 species
UUUUCUUUUACAGUUGAGGAAACCAUGGUUCAGACAGGUAAAAUCUCACAAAAUCACAUAGCUUGAACUUACUGAAUUUUGUAUUUCAAAGACUACCAGUUACCUCUCGCUUUAAUGAAAACAAUGAUGAGAUGACAUGAAAGUCCAGGGACUUUCACUGUAUCAGUAAGAUGUCAUGCUUCCAUAUUGAUUUCCUGUGUAAAAUAUGCAAUUUCAAAAGGCUUUCAAUUCUUAUUAGUGGAAACUCCUCUUUAAAAAUCCUACUAAUUAGUCAUAAAUUCUCUGUCUAGGUCAAUAUCCAGUAACAAACUUGCACAUGUACCCCCUGAAUUUAUAAGUAUAUAUAGAUAUUUUUUUUUAAAAAAAUCUUACUAAUUAAUGUGUUGCUUAUCUCACUCCUGUCCUGUGACAUUUCUCCCAAUCCCACAUGCCAGGAUACAUCAUUCUAGCAUUUCUGUGAUCUUCCCUUGCUCUGAAAAUAUCUUUAUUAAAAAAUAGAAUAUUUCCUUUUUAGCAAAAAUGUUAUUUUUUAGAUUCUGCAGUUGUCUUUUUUACUAUUUUCUGAGCUCUAAGUUGUCUCUUUUUGUUUCUAGGAUGGCACAUCUCAGUAUCUUUUGAGUUAAGACAAUGAUGGGUUUAAGGAAUAGCCUUCUGUUUUGUAGCCACUCCAUGAAAUCUUGGGGCCUGACAAUCCCUGGAUAACAGGAAAUCUUUAUACAUGUAGCUGGUUUAAAGGGACUUCCAAUGAAUACUUCUUUUUAAGUAGAAGGUUCUGAAUUAUCAGUAGAUAAGACCAGUAUAACCGUUAGAAUCUUUGGGAGCACACCCGAUUACAUACUUGGACUUUAGUUUUUGACAGAGCCCUGAGCAACUGCUCACAAGGGAAAGCAUAUGUAGAUUGAAGCUAUGCAGAAUGAAGUCUCAACAGCUGAAGCUUACUGGGGAACCAAUGGUGCCCUAAAUUAAGAUAAUUUAUGAAAUGUUGGUCUCCCUCUGUUGCUGCCCAGGCUCCAGGCUGAAGUGCAGAGGCAUGAUCUUGGCUCACUGCCGCCUCCUCUUCCCAGGCUCAAGCGAUCCUCCCACAUUUGCCUCCUGAGUAGCUGAGACUACAGUCUUGCCUUGUCACCCAGGCUGGAGUGCAAUGGCACAAUCUCGGCUCACUGCAAUCUCUGCCUCCCAGGUUCAAGUGAUUCUUCUGCCUCAGCCUCCCAAGCAACUGGGACUACAGCCCCUGAAAAGUAGCAGCAAUGUGCCCUGCAACAGAAUCUGCACACUACAGAGAUACUACAAAAGCUACCAUGAAGAAGCUACAUAGAUGAUCACUGGGUUGUACCUCUCAAGUACUUUCUCAGAAGCCACAUCCAUGUUAUUGCUGAGAGUACAUGCUUUGCUAUAAACCCUAACUGGGUUGAAUCCUGGCUGUGCCACUUAGUAGCUAAGAGAUUUUGACCAAAUCACUGGCAGAGACCUUUGUCCCCUUGUCUAUGAAAUAAAAUAAAAAUAGCUACCGCUCUGAGAUUUUUCAAUAAAACCUGUUAAAUUUUACAAGGUUAACUGGCUAGUAUUUAAGUUUUGCAUUAUCAUGUGCUAUCCUGGCCAUCUUGAGAGCUGUGCUGAUAACUGGCACAUGAAUAUGUCUACAUAUUUCAAGUUAAAUCUGCUGUCAUAUCAGAAUAUAAUUUUAUAAAACUAAGCUUAUUAUCUUUUCUUUUGAACUUUUCCUGUUCAUUGUUUUUGCCAAUAUUUUACUUAAAAGGAUCAACUUGCUUUCGUACGUAAGAGAUUUCUGGAAAAUACAUUAGAAAGUCAAGCAUGUUUUUACAAAAAAUCCUGAAACAACUAGGGGGCAGUGCUGCCAAACGAUAGCUCAAAAUCAUCAUUAGUCAGCUGAGGUGUGAAAAACCAUUUAGAUCCAAAAAGCAGAUGAGGGAUUGUGAUGGAAUGUAUUAAUUAAAUUGAACAUCAUAUGAAAGCCAAAUUCAUGGUAGAUGCAGACCACCAUAUUUUUCUAUGUAUGGGAACUUAUAAGCCCUGAGUCACCUUUGACUAUUCCUUAUUCCCAUAUUCAUGAGGCUCAGCCUCAUCUUUGUUGGGGUCUUAUUUUGUUGGUAAUGUAUUUUUCAUCAGCCCUUUCCUUCUUCUCAUAAUUCCAGUCUUAAGUCAACUUCUUAUCACUGAGACUAAUCAAUACCUCUUACUUGAUACCACUACAUUUAAAAGAUAUUGGCUUUCCAAAAUUCAGCUUUCCUCCCCAAGAGGCGUUAUAAAAUGCACUAUAACAUGCAUGAGGUUCUGGCCCUUGCUGUCAGAAAUAUCUGCAUUUGCAACUUGGUUUCACUAUGUACUGUGAGAGUUUGGGUAAAUUGAUUAAACUGGCUUAAUCUCAGAUUCUCAACCUUAAUUAAAUAAUUAUUUAGAAAAUGCUCUCCCUUCAUUGCACAUUCCCCUUCCAAUUCCUGCCUUGUUUCUCAGCUUUUUAAAUAGACUCCUUGUAAAUAGUAUUUGUACUGCUAUCUCCAUUUCUUCACCUCCUGUCUCUCUCUAUAGCAUACCAACUAGGCUUUUGGGACUACCUGUCUGUGAAAACAGCCUUUGUCCUCCUAAUUUUCUGCCUUUUGUUUUAGGCAUUGUCAGCCCUUCUCCUCUCCUCCCCUCACCUAAUCCUUUAUCUUCUCCUCUCUCCCUUUCUGCUCCUUUUCUUUCCUUUUCUAGGUAAUGUCAUUGUCUCUUAACUUUAAAUAAUAACUAUACACUGACACUCUCAAAAUCUGAAUUCCACUCUAAUAAAACAACUUGUUUACUCAUAAUUUUGAACUGUGUCUGUCAUUUCAAAUUUUACAUAACCCAUGGGAAUUUCCAUUUCUGUCCUCUGAAACUUCAAGUCUUUCUUAUUUCAGUUUAUGCUACCACCAUCCACUUGCCGCUGCAAAAAUAAAGAAUAACAACAACAAUAAAACAAACAAACAAACAAACAAAAAGAGUCAUUCUUAAUUCUUCUCUUUAUGCUUGCCCUAUAUCUGAUCUCUCUGGUUGAAUUCAGUCCGGUGGGCUUUUACCUCCAAAACACAUAUCCAUAUCUUUCCCAUAUAUGUCCACUGCUUAUGCUGCCAAUGUAGCUCAAAGAAGACUGUAACUGUUUUUUCUGCAUCUACUCUUGUACCCUUUACAGGCUAUUUUCUACACAGCAUGCACAGUCUAUUAAUAGCGGUUAUUAUAUCAGGUCAGUUUUUUUCUUAAAACCCUCUAAUGACUUCCCGUUGUAAUUUGAAUAUGAUAUAAAUGCAAUGCCACUGCCUAGAAGGCCCUGCUUGCUUUAUAUACUAUUUUUAGCUCCAAAUUCCUCUCAAUACACUUUCUUAGACGCCAUCGAGAAACAGUAGCCUUCUUUCAGUCUCUAUAAUCACACCAUCCUAUAUGGUAGCUAUGAGUCACAAAUGACUAUGAUUACUUAAAAUACAAUCACCAUAUCUAAAUAUUCUAAUUUGAAUUCACUUUGUAAGUCUAAAAUAUGUAGCAUAUUUUUAAACCUUAGUAUAAAAAAUUAAAGUAAAAUAUUUUCAUUAAUAUUUAAUUUGAUUAUAUGUAGAAAUGCUGUUUAGGGUAUAUUACAUAAAAUAAGACAAAAUUUAGUAUUAUUGUAAUUGAACCACUUUAAUUUUACUCUUUAAAUGUCUCCUAACAAAUUUAAGAUUACAUAUGUGUCUUGUAUUGUAUUUCUAGUGUACCACAUAUUUCUAGAACCAGCUAAACUUACUUCUCUCUCAGAAACUUUGUAAUUUUUCUUUCUGGUUAUCUUUUCUUUUUAAUAUUCUCCCCCAAAAAGUUCAAUUUAUUGUUUGUUCACCUCUCAGAUCUCAAGUCAAAUUACAUUUCUUCAAAAUGUUCUUGAUUGAUCAUCCUACAUAAAAUUUUCCUGCUCUUGGCUUCCCAGUUCUACUAUAUUUACUCUUUAUAACAUUUCCUCUUUCAUUUCAUUCUUAGCUCUUCUAAUUCUUCAGAAUUAUUAGUUUGGUCAUGUAUAAGUUCAGCGAAUGGAAGGAUAUCUUCUACGUUGUCAAUUUCUGUGUCCUAGGAUUCUAUCAUAGUUAAUGGCACGUUGUAGAUACUCAAUUUAUAAUAAUUCAUUGAGAUACUGAAUCACUUGCUGGCCAACUGUCUACAAUACUGUCAUUUUAACUUCCAUUUUCACAUACCCCAUGCCUAGCAGUUUUUUUUUUUUCUGAGAUUAUAAAAAACAAUUUCAGUUGGGGAAAAAAUAAACUAGGAUACUCAAGUUUGUCAUUAAUGGGGUAUAGAAAAUGCCACCCCAAAAUGUGGAAUCUUGCCAUACUGAGUAUUUUAAAGCUGAAAUAAAUUGAGAAAACUGCAGAAGCGGGAAGGUCUCUCUAACUUUGUCCCUCCCCUCUCUCCUAAAGAACCUCAUGUGACAGAUGUCCUGUCUUACUACAGGAGAGAAGAAAUGUCACACGGAGAGUCCAAGAAGAAUCUGAACAAACAGGCCUUGUUAAGUUUACCCCAGUUUAUUAUCCUUAGAUCAUACUCUUUUGUGCUCCAAUCACACUUUUGUAUGACUUUCUGUAAAAAUGCACAGUUUUCCCUGGUUCUUUCCAUGUUCAAUUCUGAAGGCUUUGUUUCAUAUAAAACUUACGUUAAAUAAAUUUGGUUAUCCUAU